UGAGUUGAUCCUGGCUCAGGACGAACGCUGGCGGCGUGCCUAAUACAUGCAAGUCGAGCGGACAGAUGGGAGCUUGCUCCCUGAUGUUAGCGGCGGACGGGUGAGUAACACGUGGGUAACCUGCCUGUAAGACUGGGAUAACUCCGGGAAACCGGGGCUAAUACCGGAUGGUUGUUUGAACCGCAUGGUUCAAACAUAAAAGGUGGCUUCGGCUACCACUUACAGAUGGACCCGCGGCGCAUUAGCUAGUUGGUGAGGUAAYGGCUCACCAAGGCAACGAUGCGUAGCCGACCUGAGAGGGUGAUCGGCCACACUGGGACUGAGACACGGCCCAGACUCCUACGGGAGGCAGCAGUAGGGAAUCUUCCGCAAUGGACGAAAGUCUGACGGAGCAACGCCGCGUGAGUGAUGAAGGUUUUCGGAUCGUAAAGCUCUGUUGUUAGGGAAGAACAAGUACCGUUCGAAUAGGGCGGUACCUUGACGGUACCUAACCAGAAAGCCACGGCUAACUACGUGCCAGCAGCCGCGGUAAUACGUAGGUGGCAAGCGUUGUCCGGAAUUAUUGGGCGUAAAGGGCUCGCAGGCGGUUUCUUAAGUCUGAUGUGAAAGCCCCCGGCUCAACCGGGGAGGGUCAUUGGAAACUGGGGAACUUGAGUGCAGAAGAGGAGAGUGGAAUUCCACGUGUAGCGGUGAAAUGCGUAGAGAUGUGGAGGAACACCAGUGGCGAAGGCGACUCUCUGGUCUGUAACUGACGCUGAGGAGCGAAAGCGUGGGGAGCGAACAGGAUUAGAUACCCUGGUAGUCCACGCCGUAAACGAUGAGUGCUAAGUGUUAGGGGGUUUCCGCCCCUUAGUGCUGCAGCUAACGCAUUAAGCACUCCGCCUGGGGAGUACGGUCGCAAGACUGAAACUCAAAGGAAUUGACGGGGGCCCGCACAAGCGGUGGAGCAUGUGGUUUAAUUCGAAGCAACGCGAAGAACCUUACCAGGUCUUGACAUCCUCUGACAAUCCUAGAGAUAGGACGUCCCCUUCGGGGGCAGAGUGACAGGUGGUGCAUGGUUGUCGUCAGCUCGUGUCGUGAGAUGUUGGGUUAAGUCCCGCAACGAGCGCAACCCUUGAUCUUAGUUGCCAGCAUUCAGUUGGGCACUCUAAGGUGACUGCCGGUGACAAACCGGAGGAAGGUGGGGAUGACGUCAAAUCAUCAUGCCCCUUAUGACCUGGGCUACACACGUGCUACAAUGGACAGAACAAAGGGCAGCGAAACCGCGAGGUUAAGCCAAUCCCACAAAUCUGUUCUCAGUUCGGAUCGCAGUCUGCAACUCGACUGCGUGAAGCUGGAAUCGCUAGUAAUCGCGGAUC
rnacentral:rRNA from 1 species